UACGUAGGGGGCAAGCGUUAUCCGGAAUUACUGGGUGUAAAGGGUGCGUAGGCGGACGCUUAAGUCAGCGGUAAAAUUGCGGGGCUCAACCUCGUCGAGCCAUUGAAACUGGGUGCCUUGAGUGGGCGAGAAGUACGCGGAAUGCGUGGUGUAGCGGUGAAAUGCAUAGAUAUCACGCAGAACUCCGAUUGCGAAGGCAGCGUACCGGCGCCCAACUGACGCUGAAGCACGAAGGCGUGGGUAUCGAACAGG
rnacentral:rRNA from 1 species